UACGAAGGGGGCGAGCGUUGUUCGGAUUUACUGGGCGUAAAGGGCGCGCAGGCGGCUCAUUUUGUCAGGCGUGAAAGCCCCGGGCUUAACCUGGGAACUGCGUUUGAUACGGAUGGGCUAGAGUUCGGGAGAGGAGAGUGGAGUUCCCAGUGUAGAGGUGAAAUUUGUAGAUAUUGGGAAGAACACCGGUGGCGAAGGCGGCUCUCUGGACCGAUACUGACGCUGAGGCGCGAAAGCGUGGGGAGCAAACAGG
rnacentral:rRNA from 1 species